AGAAUCAACGCUGGCGGCGUGCCUAACACAUGCAAGUCGCACGAGAAAGGGUAGCAAUACCUGAGUAAAGUGGCGCACGGGUGAGUAACACGUGAAUAAUCUACCUCCGAGUGGGGAAUAACCUAGAGAAAUCUGGGCUAAUACCGCAUAACACUUACGAGUCAAAGCAGCAAUGCGCUUGGAGAGGAGUUCGCGGCAGAUUAGCUAGUUGGCGGGGUAAUGGCCCACCAAGGCGAUGAUCUGUAUCCGGCCUGAGAGGGCGCACGGACACACUGGAACUGAAACACGGUCCAGACUCCUACGGGAGGCAGCAGUGGGGAAUUUUGCGCAAUGGGGGAAACCCUGACGCAGCAACGCCGCGUGGAGGAUGAAAUCCCUUGGGAUGUAAACUCCUUUCGAUAGGGAAGAUAAUGACGGUACCUAUAGAAGAAGCCCCGGCUAACUUCGUGCCAGCAGCCGC
rnacentral:rRNA from 1 species